rnacentral:rRNA from 1 species
AAUGAACACAAAUCUGAUCAUAAUGACAAUUGCUGCACGCUUUGUGCAGUGAAUUGUUUACUUUUGGUAUAAUGCUAUCAAAGCUGCAUACAAAUGAUUUUUGAAAGGAUGCAACAUGGGAUGCGAUGUUCAUGUAUGUGUGCCUGCUUUGUCCACAGCAUGUGCUGAAUGAACCACAUUUCUUGCAACUGAAAUGCAAAUGGCAUGGUAAAGUUCAUGUGACAUGACACAUGUUUGAGAUUCAUGAUGUGCAAGUACCAUGAGGGAAAUGUGAAAAGGACUUUGGAAAGAGAAUUAAAGAAAGCCUGCAAUUGCUGAUCACAAAAGCAAGUGUGGAUGUCAUCAUAAUGUUACUGCAUCACUCAAUGCUAAUCAGUGUUACUGAAUGCUUUGCAUUACAUUACAGUGCCACAAAGUGUGAGUAACAGCAAUGUUACAAGUGUUUCCAUAUGGGAUCAGUUGAAACACUGUUUGCACACACUUCAGUGCCCCCUGUGUAUCACCAUCUCCUACCACUCAUUGUUUGCACACAUGAAAUGCUGUGUUUAUGUGACAUAUCUCUGUGUUCAACCAACAUGUUGUGUAAUACCUCACUUGACCCGUCUUGAAACACGGACCAAGGA